CAGCAGCCGCGGUAAUACGUAGGGUGCGAGCGUUGCCCGGAUUUAUUGGGCGUAAAGGGCGCGUAGGCGGUCACGCACGUCCGUUGUGAAAUCGCUCGGCUCAACUGGGCGGGGUCAGCGGAUACGGCGUGGCUGGAGCAAGCUAGGGGGCGAUGGAAUUCCCGGUGUAGUGGUGGAAUGCGUAGAUAUCGGGAGGAACACCAGUGGCGAAGGCGGUUGCCUGGAGCUUUGCUGACGCUGAUGCGCGAAAGCGUGGGGAGCGAUCCGGAUUAGAUACCCGGGUAGUCCACGCCGUAAACGAUGCGGACUAGGUGUCGGGGGUAUCGACCCCCUCGGCGCCGCAGCUAACGCAUUAAGUCCGCCGCCUGGGGACUACGGCCGCAAGGCUAAAACUCAAAGGAAUUGACGG
rnacentral:rRNA from 1 species